rnacentral:rRNA from 1 species
AGAGAGAGACAUGCGCGCAUAUCAAUAAGCGGAGGAAAAGAAACUAACAAGGAUUCCCUUAGUAACGGCGAGUGAAGCGGGAAGAGCUCAAAUUUGAAAUCUUCAAGGUUUUACCUUGACGAAUUGUAGUUUAAAGAAGUGUUUUCUGCUGAAGUUUUGGUAAAAGUUCUUUGGAAUAGGACAUCAUAGAGGGUGAGUAUCCCGUAUUUGACCAUUAUUUUCAGCUUUGUGGUACACUUUCAAAGAGUCGGAUUGUUUGGGAAUGCAGUCCAAAAUGGGUGGUAAAUUUCAUCUAAAGCUAAAUAUUGGCGAGAGACCGAUAGGCGAACAAGUACCGUGAGGGAAAGAUGAAAAGAACUUUGAAAAGAGAGUUAAACAGUACGUGAAAUUGUCAAAAGGGAAGCGUUUGACACCAGUGUUGUUUUCUCGAAAAUCAAUUAAAAAUGGCUCGAUUUUGUAUUGCUGAGACCUUAAAAGCUCACUGUACAUUUUUCGUGUCUUUUUUAAUGCACUUUUCGUUUAACAAGUCAACAUCAGUUUCUUUUGUUGUAAAAGGGUCAUUGGAAGGUGGCUUUCUUUUCGGAGAAAGUGUUUAUAGCCUUUGGCCUCUGCAAUCGGAGAGACUGAGGUCUGCAGCGUAGACUCUUCGGGGUUAGAUACAUUUGUGCUAAGUUAUAGCUUUUUAUAGACAACUUGUUGACUAUAAUUAGUCUUGUAGCUUACUCGCUUAUGCUAUUUUACCUACGCUUAGGAUGUUGAAGAUGUAGCACAUCAU